CAGACUCAUGCAACGAACUGGCAGCUAUCAAUUCAACACACAAGGCUUAAAUACAUUGCAUAGUUAGUGACAAUAAGCCACAGGUGAGGAGCUGCUGCCGGCCAUGCCCCUGACAAAAUUCAGGUGUUGGCCUUCAGUGACGGUUUGAGACGAGAGACGAUGUCUGCAUUGCUGACAUUCUGUGUUGAACAAGAACUUACUGCCUGUCAGGGUAAAAUCCUGACACAGACCCAGAAGUAGUUGGUUCUUCGCACAUUUACGUGGUUGCUUUCCCACGCAGAUGCAUGCAUGUUUACACAGUCUUCGACUCAUCAGUUCCGUCUGCGUUGGCCGUUGUGAGGUGCUGCAAGAGAACCUGGGAGCGAACUCCAUGGAUGGUAUUAUGCAGGUUGCACUCUUAUGUGGCCCCGGUGGACCAUAAGAUGACCCCGGCACAAGGCUACAGGGUGGGUCUGCGUGUGUGGCUUUCAAGAAAGACCCUUCCACUCCCAGUGGAAUCUUGGAAAUCCUCUUCCAGGUUCGUCGGUCCGUUCCCUAUCACCAAAGUGGUCAACCCAGUUACUACGAGAUUGAGACUCCCAAAGUCCAUGCCGAUCCACCCAACUUUUCAUGUUAGCCCUCUUGGGUGUACUCGCUGGUCCUGCCUGCCAGGCCCCCUCCUCACUGCUGGAUCGGGUCCUGGUCUAUGUUGUGCAGGGCUGCUGUCCUUGCGUCGUUGGGGUAGGGGGGUGCAGUAUUCAACCGAUUUGAAGGGGUACAGUCCUAAAGAGCGUUUGUGGGUUUAUUCCCAGUUUAUCGUCGGCCCCUCGCUCAUCAGGGACCUCUAUGCCGUGCACCCUGAAGACGCCUGGGCCAUCCGGAGCCGGCUGCUCGGGGGUGGGAUGUGGGUACUGUCAUGGGCGUAUCCUUCCUCGACUUCAUGUGCACCUGCUCCGGUGAGCAGGUGGGCCCACCUGCUUCUUGUUCACACUAAUUAUCAUCAAUAUUUAUUGCCAUGCAAGUGGUCUUGUCCUUCACCAGAUUGCUGUACUUUAUCGUCAAGUUCCCACAUUACUUUGUCUCAUGUUACUGACUUAGUCGAUUGAUCCUGCUUCCUGUUUGACCUUGGCUCUUAUCCUGACGAUUCUGUUACUGUUACUUUCCUGGACUGGCUUCUUGUGCCCCGACCCCAAAGUCAA